GUGGAAUAUUGCACAAUGGGGGAAACCCUGAUGCAGCGACGCCGCGUGAGCGAAGAAGUAUUUCGGUAUGUAAAGCGCUAUCAGCAGGGAAGAAACAUGACGGUACCUGAGUAAGAAGCACCGGAUAACUACGUGCCAGGAGCCGCGGUAAUACGUAUGGUGCAAGCGUUAUCCGGAUUUACUGGGUGUAAAGGGAGCGCAGGCGGUGCGGCAAGUCUGAUGUGAAAACCCGGGGCUCAACCCCGGGACUGCAUUGGAAACUACCGAACUAGAGUGUCGGAGAGGUAAGUGGAAUUCCUAGUGUAGCGGUGAAAUGCGUAGAUAUUAGGAGGAACACCAGUGGCGAAGGCGGCUUACUGGACGAUAACUGACGCUGAGGCUCGAAAGCGUGGGGAGCAAACAGG
rnacentral:rRNA from 1 species